AGAGUUUGAUCCUGGCUCAGGAUGAACGCUGGCGGCGUGGAUAAGGCAUGCAAGUCGAGAGGGUUAGACCCUCGGCAAACGGGUUAGUAAUACAUAGGAACUUCCCUCGGAGUCGUGAAUAAUCCGGAGAAAUCCGGAAUAAUACACGAUGUGCUCUACGGAGUAAAGAUUUAUCGCUUCGAGAUAGGCCUAUGUCCUAUCAGCUAGUUGGUAAGGUAAUGGCUUACCAAGGCUAUGACGGGUAGGGGGUGUGAGAGCAUGGCCCCCAACAUUGGAACUGAGACACUGUCCAAACUCCUACGGGAGGCUGCAGUCGAGAAUAUUCCACAAUGGGCGAAAGCCUGAUGGAGCGACGCCGCGUGCAGGAUGAAGGCCCUUGGGUUGUAAACUGCUUUUGUAAGGGAAGAACUUCGGUGACGGUACCUUACGAAUAAGAGGUUACUAACUCUGUGCCAGCAGUAGCGGUAAUACAGAGACCUCAAGCGUUAUCCGGAUUUAUUGGGCGUAAAGAGCUGGUAGGUGGUUAUAUUAGUCAGAUGUCAAAUCUUCGAGCUUAACUCGAAAACUGCAUUUGAAACGGUAUAACUAGAGGGUGUGAGAGAUCUAUGGAACUCAUGGUGUAGCAGUGAAAUGCGUUGAUAUCAUGGGGAACACCAAAGGCGAAGGCAUUAGGUUGGCACACUCCUGACACUGAGCAGCGAAAGCGUGGGUAGCGAAUGGGAUUAGAUACCCCAGUAGUCCACGCCCUAAACGAUGCAUAUUAGGCAUUAAGAGUAUCGACCCUUUUAGUGUCGUAGCUAACGCGUUAAAUAUGCCGCCUGGGAAGUACGGUCGCAAGACUAAAACUCAAAGGAAUAGACGGGGAUCCGCACAAGUGGAGGAUCAUGUGGUUUAAUUCGAUGGUAAGCGAGAAACCUCACCAGGGUUUGAAACUAGGCUGCAAGACUUAGAAAUAAGUCCGCCUUCGAGGGUGCCUAGCAGGUGCUGCAUGGUUGUCGUCAGCUCGUGCCGUAAGGUGUUCCGUUAAGUCGGGAAACGAGCGCAACCCCUUUCGUGUGUUAUACAUGUCACACGAUACUGCCCAGGCUUUUGAGCACUAGCUCAAAAGUGUAGAAUGUAUCAAGUAGUAUGUAUUAUGUAUAAAUGCGUUUUAUACAUUAUACUUUCUGUAAAAUACAUAACACUUUUUGUUUGCUAGUGAACAAAAGUCUGGGAGGAAGGAGGGGAUGACGUCAAAUCAGCAUGGCCCUUUGACAUCCUGGGCAACACACGUGAUACAAUGGCCGGUACAGAGGGUUGCCAAGUCGCGAGACGGAGCCAAUCCCAAAAAACCGGUCCCAGUUCGGAUGGGAGUCUGCAACUCGACUCCUUGAAGCCGGAUUCACUAGUAAUCGGGAAUCAGAACGUCCCGGUGAAUACGUUCUCGGAUCUUGUACUCACCGCCCGUCACGUCAAGAGAGCCGAUAACACCCGAAGGCCCUGGGUAACAGCGGGGACGACGGUGGGAUUGGUGAUAGGGACGAAGUCGUAACAAGGCAUCCGUAGCGGAAGCUGUGGAUG
rnacentral:rRNA from 2 species